AUUCAGUUCUCUCUCUUUGAUUCUUCCCUUAGGAUUGAGGAAGGCCUGGCCGUGGCUCACAGCUGAGUCACACCUCUCCAGUAAAGCCUGAGGAGAGCAUGUCAAACCACCGGAAGACCUCAGUCAUGUGGGUUUUCCGGUUCACCCGUGGCAACAGAGUUGGUUUUCCAGCACAACAUUGGGUACUGGAAUACUGGAGUUACAAGACAAAAUGUAUGAAGAAAAAAAACAAUAGAAGAAUCUAGAAAUGUACAUUAAGAUAGGUCAGGGAGGCACAGCUGAAAAGAGAAUCUUGGUUUUUACCUAAAUCCUGUGACUUCAUUUGUCUUAGCAGCUGCAUUCUGAAGAUUGUGAAUUAUU